AGUGAACGCUGGCGGCAGGCCUAACACAUGCAAGUCGAGCGGCAGCGGGUCCUUCGGGAUGCCGGCGAGCGGCGGACGGGUGAGGAAUACAUCGGAAUCUGCCCUGUCGUGGGGGAUAACCUAGGGAAACUUAGGCUAAUACCGCAUACGACCUACGGGUGAAAGCGGGGGAUCGCAAGACCUCGCGCGACAGGAUGAGCCGAUGUCCGAUUAGCUAGUUGGCGGGGUAAAGGCCCACCAAGGCGACGAUCGGUAGCUGGUCUGAGAGGAUGAUCAGCCACACUGGGACUGAGACACGGCCCAGACUCCGACGGGGGGCAGCAGUGGGGAAUAUUGGACAAUGGGCGCAAGCCUGAUCCAGCCAUGCCGCGUGGGUGAAGAAGGCCUUCGGGUUGUAAAGCCCUUUUGUCCGGGAAGAAAUCGUCUGGGCUAAUACCCCGGGCGGAUGACGGUACCGGAAGAAUAAGCACCGGCUAACUUCGUG
rnacentral:rRNA from 1 species